rnacentral:hammerhead_ribozyme from 1 species
GCACUGCUGAGAAGUCUCAGAAUAGGACGAAACGGUCGUCUAGUGC